UCAGUGUUUGUCGUCUCUCUGUAACUAUCGUUACGGGAAGCACCAUGUCAGGUUGUUUAAGGUGUGAGAGCUGACCUCAAAUGACAAGCAAGAUUGAACAUAUCCAUCUCAACCCAGUUAUGCACCAAACAAAAGGACAAAGACAGCAGAAAUGAUGGGCCUUGGUCCACUUCCAAAUAAACGCUGGUGCUGUUCGGCUGAAAUAUGAACUCAACUCUGAUCAAAGACAUCACAACAAACCAU
ensembl:processed_transcript